rnacentral:rRNA from 1 species
AACGAACGCUGGCGGCAGGCCUAAUACAUGCAAGUCGAACGCACCGCAAGGGUGAGUGGCAGACGGGUGAGUAACGCGUGGGAACCUUCCUAGUAGUACGGAAUAACUCCGGGAAACCGGUGCUAAUACCGUAUAAGCCCUCCGGGGGAAGGAUUUAUCGCUACUAGAUGGGCCCGCGUCGGAUUAGCUUGUUGGUGAGGUAAUGGCUCACCAAGGCUUCGAUCCGUAGCUGGUCUGAGAGGANGAUCAGCCACACUGGGACUGAGACACGGCCCAGACUCCUACGGGAGCAGCAGUAGGGAAUAUUGGACAAUGGGCGAAAGCCUGAUCCAGCCAUGCCGCGU